UUUUGCAAAGUCGUCAGACAGGACAUGUUGUAUCAUAUAAAAGUUUUUUUCUGGAACAUUCUACUUCCAAACAUGUCCAGUAAAGUUCAAAGGGCUCUUUUUCCCUCUGGACAUGGCAAUCGUUUUUGUUUGUUUGUUUUGGAUUGUUUUACGUGGCAUAUGUGUUUAUUUAAAUCUCACCCUCAUAGAGGAGUCAUUCAAGCAUGGAUCAGUCAACAAUGGUUACUAUGGCUGCAAGGAGGAAGUGGAACACAAGCCUCCUAGCAGUGUUUACAACAGUCAGUGGUCUCUAAGGUUAACAACAGCUGAGGUUAACUGUGGCUGUUAUUAGGUGUCUGUAGGCUAUUAGACAAGAAGGCCAGAAAACUGGGUCAAAAGCCACAGCCACGUCCUUCCCAAAGAAAUCCCAGUGUGCCUCAUCACACCGGAAGAAGCCCUCCAACCUUCAGUGCCCCUCCCCACUCCCCCGAAAGAUACAACACAGCACUGAAUCAGAAAGAACACCAGGGAACAUUCUAGAACACUACAAGGAAAGGAUUGUAACCCGAGAAUUAUAUAUACAGCCAAGAUAUCCUUUGUAACAGUGACAGGUAUUUGCAGACAUGCAACGACUUGGAGGUUUGAGCACGUACAGAGGAAUCUGGGGACAUAACUGGGGCACAAAUUGACAUCCACGUAUGAACGUGAUGGAGUGACAGAAACCAGACCUUGCCCUCCAUCUGAUGGACAAAAUAUGUGUGAGACGUUUCUGAUAGUUGUCAGGCUACAGCUGUCUGAGAAGGUGAGUCACAUGGCUAAUCCAGCUGACAGCCAAGGGACCGUGUAUCCACUGAGCAACUGGAAAGUGUGUCUGCCUGAGCCCAGCAGACUCCCCAAGAUGGGCAACGAUGGGGAUCUGAGGGGUUGGUUGAGCUUGAAGGACAGAAGACAGGACAGGAGAGGAGUGCCACACAGAGACAGCAACAAAGUUCUGGAGAUCAUCCUUGAGGUAGCAGCUGAAUGCUGAUCAUGGCAUGUCUCCAGGGAAACCAGAACAGCUGGAGAAAGAUGUGCCUUGGGGCAGAGGAAUAAUGAGUUCUGAGGACCAUAAUGAGUUGGAACUAGGAUUCCACCAAGCCAGUUCUGGAAAAUGUAAUUGAAAAGUCUCAGAGGAAUUUGGCCUUCGUAUUAUCCCUGGACUAACACUGUUCUUUCUCUGAGAAAGCAUAAAAUCAAGCUUCAGAAAAACCAACCGACCAGUCAAACUGCUCCAAGUAACUUCACUGCUAGAACCAAUCUCAAGAAUAACCAGGCAAAUAUGAAUACUUCCGGCACUGGACAGCUGCUGGUCAGAGUGCAGAGAGUAAGUGCCUGGGAGUGUUCAGUCUGAAGGGAGACAUCCGAGUCGCUCCAUCUUUCCCUGUAUGGCUCCAGGAAUAUUGUGGAACAUGGGGCAGAAAGCUUGUGAGAGCCAGAGGUUGAAGGACGCUGAAGUAAAGCGGUAUCUUGUGGAGGUGACAGAGCCCUGCAUUCAUCCACUCACAGCAGCCUCGGCUGCCUCCACAGACCUGCAAACACCCAAGCUGGUCAGCAGUCCAGCACUGCACAGAGAGAAGAGGGUCAGGACGCCCCACACCUAGCUGAGCAGUCAUUGACUGCCAGUGACUGUCGGGAAAAGGAGAGUUAUUUCCCUAAGUAGUGUGGCCACAGGCGGGUUGAUUCCUUACCCCCUUGCACACAUGGGCAACACUAACUAGGCUCAUUGGGUUAUAAAAUAAUAAAAUAAUAAUAAGAAAACAGGUAGUUGUGGAUAUGAUGGAGGGAAAGCCAGGGGGAAUGGUGCAGAUGUGAUUGAAAUACACUGUAUUUGUAUAUAAAAUAUCAAAUUAUCCAUUGUUAAAGAAGCAGAAAAAAUACCUUGUAGUAAUGUGGGGGAAAGCAAUUGUAGAACACAAUAAAAACAACAGAUGAGAGCAUCCACAGCUACUAUAACCAUAUUAUGUCUAAAAAGGUACUACUGGGGUGUCUAGUUACACACUUUAUUUGUGCCGAACUCCUAAUUCCACUGCGGUUUAACACCUGAACUUUGCCAGCUCCUUUUUACCUUUGCACACAGCAUAGUGAAGGGAAUGGUCACACGGGGCAUGUCCAGUGUCCAGGUAAGACACAUAAUAUCCCAAGCCUCCUCGUCCUCCUCGUCCUCGUCCUCCUCCUCUCUCUCUCUCCUGUCUCUCCCCCUCUCCCCCUGUGUGUGUCUCUUUCUGUCUCUGUCUGUCUCUCCCUCUCUUCCCCCAUGCAUGUGUCUGUCUCUCUCCCUCCCCUAUGUGUGUGUAUCUGUCUGUCUUCCUAUCUCUGUCUGUCUCCCUCUCUCCUCCCCCACCACGUGUGUGUGUGUCUCUCUCUCUUCUUUUCCCCCUUAUCGUGUGUUUCUGUCUCUGUCUUUCUCUUCUCUUCUCUUUUGUGUGUGUUUGUCUGUCUCUCUGUCUCUGUGUGUGUGUGCCUGCCCCUCUCUCUCUCUCCCUCUCUCCCUCUCUCUCCCUACCCCCAACACACUGUUUCCCCAGACAUAGUCUUCUGCCUCAUCACAGGCUCAGAGACCAAGUGCCAGGCGGUCAUGAAUGGAACGCCUCUGAAACCAUAACCUCAAAUAAAUCGUCCUCCAUCAUCAGCUGUUCUCUCAGGUUUACAUCAUGGCAAUAAAGAAUUCUUACUACCGCUACUCAUAA